CAUAUCUGUAUGAAAAUUUAAAAUAAUUAUUUUUAAAUAUUUUUUUCAGAAAAAUUCUAACCAGAUAGAGAAAAUGUCGAAUUGGACACCGAUUUUGACUAUCAAAAAACAUUCUAUGGAAAUGGUGGACUACAUUAAGGUUAACGGUUAUGCUACUUGGAAUCCGUAUUCGUCAAUCAAAAGUACAUGAAGGGGUAUGAAUAUCAUGGAGAAAUUCUAUGGAAAUUACCUUUUGUAUUUCCAAUAAUAAGGUUUAUUGAGCGGCUUGAGAUACCCAUUAUCAACAUUCAACAUCGCAGAAGAGAAGUUAAUCUGUGAGUGUGUAAAAGUAAAUUUUUGAUAUUUUAAUUACUUAUUACCUCAAUAAUUGGAAUUCAAAAAGUAUAAUAUCACAAGUAAAUAAAUAAAAGUAUGGGAAAUUUAAAAUGUAAUAUCGAAAGUCGACUCAUAUACAGUAUACAGACAUAGAUAAACUAUUCAUACUUCCAAUUGGUACAAUGUGGUAAUGUACUAUAUAAUGUCGCUCAUAUUGCCAUAUUAUGGAAAAUACGUAAUUGGUGUGUAAAGUGCUGCUUUAUUGACAAGUACCUACGUGCACUCACAUUAAUGAUCACUUAAACUACGAACACAUUUACAUGACCCACAAGAAAACACAUAGAAAUAUCCCUAUAUUGAGUUCCUUAGAAACGAUCUGUAUUUAUACUCCUUAAGAGCGGAUUUCCGAGGUAGGUACAGUGACUUGAAUACAGCUUUUUACACAUGAGGUUGGUACCUACAUUAGAUAAUAAUUAAUAAUACAAAUUUCUGAAAAUCAUGGCAAAAUUUCAACUAUAACAAAAAUAAAAUAUGUAGUUUUGUAAUUGUCUAUGUACAAGGUGUAGAGAGGGCAAGUAAUUUACAUCUAUAAGCAAGUAACUUCUAAUAGUAUUUUAAAUUUAAACAGUUCAGAUUGAUGAGGUGAAGAUAUGUUUAAGUGUAUUGUGUAUCUUUCUUUUUUUUUCCUUGUUAUCGAGAACCGAGGGAGGAACUGCUGUUGGCAUUGCUUCUCCCCCGGUCAUCAUCGUUUAUUGUGUACAUAUACAAAUAAAUAAAAUACCAAUGACACACUAUGUUGCGCCCCUCUCCGCUACCAAAUGGACUUUCCCUAUGGCUACGUAUAUGUCCACCUGGAAGUGGAGCUCGGGGUGCUUACAUUCAAGUAAAAUAAACAGAAACAAGAAAGAAAAGAAUUCGCUUAGGGCGUUGCUAGUUCCUACGGAUGAUGUCGUGGGCCGACGUCAGUCCGCCUCCCUAGAGUCACGUACUGUGGUCCUGCGAUGUCGUAAUCGCCCCCCCCCCGCCAAUGGUGUCAAGGAGUGUAGGAAGAACUUGGGUCGGUGGACGGUGACACCUCCGACGGUUGCUGUGCAGCAUGGAUUUGCCUUCCACGUUCUUCCUCUUCUUCGGGGGUUUCUUUUACCUACCCCCUGCCGCUUGUCUCGCCCUCUCCUCCUCUUCCUUCAUCGUAAUAACAUCUUCGACCAUCUUAUAGAAUGCUUUUAAAGGUCUCCUCGGCAUUUCGUAGAAUGGCUUCCUUGUGCUCUGGGUUUGCGGGGAGACUCUCGAAGAACGGUCCGCAGACGAUGUCAGGUAGAUCCGCAAGGCUCGGGUGGCGACUGAGGCGCACCUCUAAGUCACUCCUGUGUCUAGACCAGUACGAGCACUCGUACAAAGUGUGUUUGAUAGUGUCAUACUCUCCGUCGCAUUGGUACUUGGUAGCAGCCCUGCCCAUUCGGUGAAGGUAGUGCUGGA